GCCGUCUGGAGGAGGGAAGAGAAACAAAGCUCAGGUCAUGCCUCAAGAAUGCCAACCACCAUGAGGAUUUCCUGCAGCACAGGGAGUCUGAACAAUUCAUCAAAGCCCUUACCAAUCAAGGUCAAGUCUUAUGGUGGAGGACAUUUUGCCCUGCAGCUUUGCAUACGUAUGCCAGGUAGAAGGUCAGUGGUGUGACAUGCAGAACCUUAAAGCUGGGAGAGAUUUGAAGAUCACUUUAUAUAUGAAGAAAUCAUUUAGAAGAUGAAAGAUAUUUGGUGAAGUAAGAUUAUAGUGAAAUCACAGCCUUUCUCUUUGAUAUCUCUCUUUUACUUAUAUCCAAUCUUAUUAAAAAUGAG